rnacentral:rRNA from 1 species
UACGUAGGGUGCAAGCGUUGUCCGGAAUUAUUGGGCGUAAAGAGCUCGUAGGCGGUUUGUCGCGUCUGCUGUGAAAACGCGAGGCUCAACCUCGCGCCUGCAGUGGGUACGGGCAGACUAGAGUGCGGUAGGGGAGAUUGGAAUUCCUGGUGUAGCGGUGGAAUGCGCAGAUAUCAGGAGGAACACCGGUGGCGAAGGCGGGUCUCUGGGCAGUAACUGACGCUGAGGAGCGAAAGCGUGGGGAGCGAUCCGG